AACGUAGGGGGCUAGCGUUGCCCGGAAUCACUGGGCGUAAAGCGGGUGUAGGCGGUUCUUUAAGUCGGAUGUGAAAUCCAGCGGCCCAACCGCUGAAUUGCAUCCGAUACUGGGGAACUUGAGGACGGUAGAGGUCGGUGGAAUAUCCGGUGUACCGGUGAAAUGGACAGAUAUCGGAUGGAACACCAGUGGCGAAGGCGGCCGACUGGGCCGAUCCUGACGCUGAGACCCGAAAGCUAGGGUAGCGAACCGG
rnacentral:rRNA from 1 species